AAAGCCUUCCUUUUUGACUGUG
rnacentral:miRNA from 1 species